AUUGGAGUUCGAUUAAGCCAUGCGAGUCCAGAGCUUUCGGAGCUCGGCGUACCGCUCAGUAACACGUGGGUAACCUAACCUAUGCAGGGGAAUAACCUCGGGAAACUGAGUAUAAUGCCCCAUAGUCCACUACGCCUGGAACGGUGAGUGGAUAAAAGCUCAGGCGGCAUAGGAUGGGCCUGCGGCGUAUCAGGUCGUAGGGGGUGUAAAGUACCCUCUAGCCAUCUACGCGUACGGGUGUUGGGAGACAUGGCCCGGAGAUGGAUUCUGAGACACGAAUCCAGACCCUACGGGGUGCAGCAGGCGCGAAAACUUGACAAUGCGAGCAAUCGUGAUCAGGGAACUCCAAGUAGCUGGGGUAAGACCCAGUCUUUUCAUAACUCUUCAAAGGUUGUAGAAUAAGGGGUGGGUAAGGACGGUGCCAGCCGCCGCGGUAAUACCGGCGCCUCAAGUGGUAGUCGCUUUUAUUGGGCCUAAAACGUCCGUAGCCGGUUUGGUACAUUCGUGGGUAAAUCAACUCGCUCAACGAGUUGAAUUCUGCGAGGACGGCCAGACUUGGGACCGGGAGAGGGUGGUGGGGUACUCUUCAGGGUAGGGGUAAAAUCCUGUCAUCCCUGAGAGGACCACCUGUUGCGAAGGCGCCACACUAGAAACGAAUCCGACGGUCAGGGGACGAAGCCCUAGGGGCACGAACCGGUUAGAUACCCCGGUAGUCCCCUAGGUGUAAAACGCUGGGAACUUUGAAUGGGUUUGGAGAAGCUCCGAGCUUCUUCAGUGCCGAAAGCGAAAGGGGGUGUAAUCCAUGCCCCCGGGGAAGUACGGCCGCAAGGCUGAAACUUAAAGGAAUAUGUGGGCGGGGAGCAC
rnacentral:rRNA from 1 species